rnacentral:rRNA from 1 species
UACGAAGGGGGCUAGCGUUGCUCGGAAUUACUGGGCGUAAAGCGCACGUAGGCGGCUUUCUAAGUCGGGGGUGAAAUCCUGGAGCUCAACUCCAGAACUGCCUUCGAUACUGGAGAGCUCGAGUCCGGGAGAGGUGAGUGGAACUGCGAGUGUAGAGGUGAAAUUCGUAGAUAUUCGGAAGAACACCAGUGGCGAAGGCGGCUGACUGGACAAGUAUUGACGCUGAGGUGCGAAAGCGUGGGGAGCAAACAGG